UCUCUCUCCUCUCUCUCCGGUGCCCUUUGCCGCCCAGGCAGCCUACAAGGAUUCACUUUCACUUAUUACUCAUCACACUGACUCUGGAUUACAGCGGGGAGGAGAGGAAAAGCUGAGGGGGAAAUGACAGUGAAGGAAAAGAGCAAAAAGCAGGGCAACACGUUUAACCAUGUCCACUCGAAGCGUUCCCAGGAGCACUUUUAGCCAGCUGUGUCUCUCCGCAUUCCCAGCUAAACUCUUAGAAGGCAGUAUAAGAAAUGUGUAUCCAGCCCAGACCCUGAGGCCUGCGCAUCAAGAUGGAAGGCUGGCCAACGGUCCUCUGGGGACAGCAGUGCCAGAGGAGGAUUGGACACAGUGACCCAUCUGCAUGAGAUGAGGGGGGGAAGAAAACAACAACAACCAGGAGCUCUGUAAUACUGAUGAACUAAUCUGUCACUCACAAGCUCAAGGUCUGCGAAAAAGAAAAACUGCGGUAAACAUUUAAAACCAUGAGAGGUGGCAAUGCGAGUCUCCAUUUAUAAACGUAUUUAAACCAAUGGCUCAGAACCUACUUAACGGGUUAGUUCGCGUUGAUCUGAAAAGUCAUCUGGAGACAACAAUCUACCCUAUAGUUCCAAGGCUUAGGAAGUGUGCCCCAGAUAACUAUCAAAAAUCCAGAUGAUUUCCAAGAACUGUAUGAAUGAACCAAGUUUCUUGAUCUUGAUAUCCUAGGCAGGGAAUUUGUUCUUAAGUACUAGACUGCUUAAUUGCUUGCUUGGGGGAGAGAAAGUCCUGGGGGAAAGACAUUUAUGAGCAAUAUCUCCUCCAUGGAGGAGUACAUUCUCUCGAGCUGAAUCAUGGCCAGCAACACAGAGAAGUCUACUCUUUUCUCCAGGAGAAGCAACUGGAUAUUUGAUCUUAGAGAUGAAUGAAAAACCAAACUAAAGAUCACAUUUCAUGAGAAUCUUUCAGUAUUCUGAAUGGAAAAUAGCACUGACAAUUGGCUAUUUGCUCCUCCAACCCAAAUCCACUUAGGAACUGAAUUAAGAAUGGCGGGGUUGGGGGAGGGUUGAGGGGGAGAGAAAUAAUUUUUAUUGCAAUAUGUAUUUGAGGAGGAACUAACAUUUGCAUUAUCAGACAGGACUGUUCGCAUCUGCUGAGUAAGAAAGGAGGAUACGAGAUCCACACCUUAAAGGAAACACUUCUUUUUGAUUAUGAGUGCCUGAAAAGCAGUAAAAAAUUAUUUUCACAUUCUUGUUAUUGUUAGAGGUUGUCAUCGGAGUAAAUAUUUUUAUCCGUGCUAGAACAAUUAAAAGGAAAUCAUUUCAAAAAUCUAUGCCCUCUUCAUUUUUACAUCUCUAGUUGC